UACAUAUAUAUGUAUGUAUAUGUGUGUGUGUGUAUACUUACAUACCCGCACACACAUAUAUAUAUAUGUGUAUGUGUA